AGUGAACGCUGGCGGUAGGCCUAACACAUGCAAGUCGAACGGCAGCACAGUAAGAGCUUGCUCUUACGGGUGGCGAGUGGCGGACGGGUGAGGAAUACAUCGGAAUCUACUUUUUCGUGGGGGAUAACGUAGGGAAACUUACGCUACUACCGCAUACGACCUACGGGCGAAAGCAGGGGAUCUUCGGACCUUGCGCGAUUGAAUGAGCCGAUGUCGGAUUAGCUAGUUGGCGGGGUAAAGGCCCACCAAGGCGACGAUCCGUAGCUGGUCUGAGAGGAUGAUCAGCCACACUGGAACUGAGACACGGUCCAGACUCCUACGGGAGGCAGCAGUGGGGAAUAUUGGACAAUGGGCGCAAGCCUGAUCCAGCCAUACCGCGUGUGUGAAGAAGGCCUUCGGGUUGUAAAGCCCUUUUGUUGGGAAAGAAAAGCAGCAGGUUAAUACCCCGCUGUUCUGACGGUACCCAAAGAAUAAGCACCGGCUAACUUCGUG
rnacentral:rRNA from 1 species